rnacentral:rRNA from 1 species
AUUGAACGCUGGCGGCAGGCCUAACACAUGCAAGUCGAGCGGAGCGACGGACGGGUGAGUAAUGCCUAGGAAUCUACCUGGUAGUGGGGGAUCACGUCCGUCAACGGGCGCUAAUACAGCAUACUAUCAGAUGAGCCUAGGUCGGAUUAGCUAGUUGGUUGGGUAAAGGCCUACCAAGGCGACGAUCCGUAACUGGUCUGAGAGGAUGAUCAGUCAAACGGGAACUUAGACACGGUCCAGACUCCUACGGGAGGCAGCAGUGGGGAAUCUUGGACAAUGGGCGAAAGCCUGACCCAGCCAUGCCGCGUGUGUGAAGAAGGUCUUCGGAUCGUAAAGCUCUUUAAGUUGGGAGGCGGUACCAACAGAAUAAGCACCGGCUAACUUCGUGCCAGCAGCCGCGGUAAUAC